CUCAGGAUUCCUGUGCAUUUUCCUGCAUGAUGUCUGAUACAGAGGCAAGGCAGGGUCCUCUGUCUUAUGAAUAAUUCUCCAGUCAAUGCUGCUUAUAAAAGGAAGGUAGAACUUGAACAUUGGGUGGAUCUACAUUUCAUAACCACAGCACCUGGGACCAGGAAAAGACUGAGAAGACGAACCAUUUAAUCAUGGUUACAGUCGAGAAUGGCAUUUUGAUCUCUGUCUAAUUAACAUUCCUACCUUUAUCUCUAUGUAUCAGCUCACACCUAAUAUUUACAUCUAAGUUGCUUAAAUCAGAGUUUAUGAGAACUUCUAGUAACUUUCUGAAAUACAUACCUAUGUAAUGAC